GAUGAACGCUGGCGGCGUGCAUAACACAUUCAAGUCGAACGGACGAAUGACUUCGGUUGUUUGUUAGUGGCGGACGGGUGAGUAACGCGUGAGCAAUCUGCCUUUGAUUGGGGGAUAACACAGGGAAACUUGUGCUAAUACCGCAUGAUGCAUCGAGAUCGCAUGUUUUUGAUGCCAAAGGAGCAAUCUGAUCAAAGAUGAGCUCGCGUCCGAUUAGAUAGUUGGUGAGGUAACGGCUCACCAAGUCGACGAUCGGUAGCCGGACUGAGAGGUUGAACGGCCACAUUGGAACUGAGAAACGGUCCAGACUCCUACGGGAGGCAGCAGUGGGGAAUAUUGGGCAAUGGGCGAAAGCCUGACCCAGCGACGCCGCGUGAGGGAAGAAGGUCUUCGGAUUGUAAACCUUAGUUAGCAGGGAAGAAGAAAGUGACGGUACCUGCAGAGAAAGCCACGGCUAACUACGUGCCAGCAGCCGCAGUAAAAC
rnacentral:rRNA from 1 species